GAUUGUACCUCCUUCCCUCUCUUGGCGGACGACUAGAGUCGUCGUAAAACAGGAGCUUAAGAAGGAGGCUGAGGGAAACAGUAGUCCGGCAAUGGGAUUGAAGCUUCGGACAUAACUUCCAGCAGCAAGAUCUGUGGUUGUGAGUUGGCAGGAAGAUACUUAGAGUGAGUGAAGAAUUUCAGCAGCCAACAACCCUUGACG